CCAGCUUGCUGGGCGGAUUAGUGGCGAACGGGUGAGUAAUACGUGAGUAACCUGCCCUUGACUCUGGGAUAAGCCUGGGAAACUGGGUCUAAUACUGGAUACUACCGUCCACCGCAUGGUGGGUGGUGGAAAGGGUUUUACUGGUUUUGGAUGGGCUCACGGCCUAUCAGCUUGUUGGUGGGGUAAUGGCUCACCAAGGCGACGACGGGUAGCCGGCCUGAGAGGGUGACCGGCCACACUGGGACUGAGACACGGCCCAGACUCCUACGGGAGGCAGCAGUGGGGAAUAUUGCACAAUGGGCGGAAGCCUGAUGCAGCGACGCCGCGUGAGGGAUGACGGCCUUCGGGUUGUAAACCUCUUUCAGUAGGGAAGAAGCGAGAGUGACGGUACCUGCAGAAGAAGCGCCGGCUAACUACGUGCCAGCAGCCGCGGUAAUACGUAGGGCGCAAGCGUUGUCCGGAAUUAUUGGGCGUAAAGAGCUCGUAGGCGGUUUGUCGCGUCUGCUGUGAAAGCCCGGGGCUCAACCCCGGGUCUGCAGUGGGUACGGGCAGACUAGAGUGCAGUAGGGGAGACUGGAAUUCCUGGUGUAGCGGUGAAAUGCGCAGAUAUCAGGAGGAACACCGAUGGCGAAGGCAGGUCUCUGGGCUGUUACUGACGCUGAGGAGCGAAAGCAUGGGGAGCGAACAGGAUUAGAUACCCUGGUAGUCCAUGCCGUAAACGUUGGGCACUAGGUGUGGGGGACAUUCCACGUUUUCCGCGCCGUAGCUAACGCAUUAAGUGCCCCGCCUGGGGAGUACGGCCGCAAGGCUAAAACUCAAAGGAAUUGACGGGGGCCCGCACAAGCGGCGGAGCAUGCGGAUUAAUUCGAUGCAACGCGAAGAACCUUACCAAGGCUUGACAUUCACCGGACCGCCCCAGAGAUGGGGUUUCCCUUCGGGGCUGGUGGACAGGUGGUGCAUGGUUGUCGUCAGCUCGUGUCGUGAGAUGUUGGGUUAAGUCCCGCAACGAGCGCAACCCUCGUUCUAUGUUGCCAGCACGUGAUGGUGGGGACUCAUAGGAGACUGCCGGGGUCAACUCGGAGGAAGGUGGGGAUGACGUCAAAUCAUCAUGCCCCUUAUGUCUUGGGCUUCACGCAUGCUACAAUGGCCGGUACAAAGGGUUGCGAUACUGUGAGGUGGAGCUAAUCCCAAAAAGCCGGUCUCAGUUCGGAUUGAGGUCUGCAACUCGACCUCAUGAAGUCGGAGUCGCUAGUAAUCGCAGAUCAGCAACGCUGCGGUGAAUACGUUCCCGGGCCUUGUACACACCGCCCGUCAAGUCACGAAAGUUGGUAACACCCGAAGCCGGUGGCC
rnacentral:rRNA from 1 species